CUCCAGAUGUUGCUGAACUACAACUCCCAUGAUUUUCAGCCUAUCUAUUUAAGUCAUAGAAUCAUGGGAGUUGUAGUUCAGCAACAUCUGGAG